UACUGGUGUCAGGGACGCAGAGCAGUGCCUCUGGGUUGCCGGUCCAGGGGAUGUGUCCCUGAGCAUUUGAGGAGAGGAGAGGGGGUGGUCAGCUGUUUCAUUUUGGGGUUCUUCCUGACCCUUAGAAGACUGAGAUGAGCCCGACUGCAAAGAAGAUGAAGUUGAAGUCACUCUUCUAGAAACUGGGCGGAUCUUGUGGUGAUAAAGAGGGAAGGAUGGGCCUUUGAACAUGGCUCAGCUUACCAGACAUCAUAUCUGGACCUGGAUCUUCCUGGCGUCACCCUCAUUGGCUGUCCUGGAGACACACUUUGCGAUCCCUGCAAGCUCAUUUCAGUCCUCAGAGUGCCUGCAACCCUUGCCACUGAGAUUCGAGUGAAGAAUGAGAUAAGUACUAAGAAUGUGGUCGAUUGGGCUUGAGUCCCCUCACAAACUUAUACUGGAUAACCCAGCAGGAGACUUCGCGUGCUGAACACUCCCCCGUGUGAUUCCCACAAUGAAAGGACAUUGCUGACUGGAACCAGAGUGUGUCCCCCAACCCCUCAUUUCCAAACCAUGUUCUGGCCAACUGACCAGACACAGGUCUCUAGUAGCUUCUGGUGUUUCAGAGACCAAGGAAGGUCAAGUUUGGUGAUAGUUCUAGAUUUCUUUGGCUUCUGUACACUCAGAGCUUACAUUAGGAGAACCCUCGUUCUCUCAUGAGUUCCCACACAGCCCGCUGUUCUGGUCAUGCUCUGCUGAAGCAGUCUGCCCAUCAUGGCCUGCUAACUGGUCUUCCAUGGAGGCACUGAGGCUGCGUCACCUUGACCUUCAGAGCCAUACC
rnacentral:lncRNA from 1 species